rnacentral:rRNA from 1 species
CCCUUAGACGUUCUGGGCCGCACGCGCGCUACACUGACCAGUGCAACAAGCAUCCGUCCUUGGCCGACAGGCCCGGGCAAUCUUUGAACGCUGGUCGUGAUGGGGAUAGACUUUUGCAAUUUUUGGUCUUCAACGAGGAAUUCCUAGUAAACGCAAGUCAUCAACUUGCAUUGAUUACGUCCCUGCCCUUUGUACACACCGCCCGUCGCACCUACCGAUUGAGUGAUCCGGUGAAUAAUUCGGACUGCAGCACUGCUUGGUCUCCAGGCUUUGCAGCGGAAAGUUUAGUGAACCUUAUCACUUAGAGGAAGGAGAANUCGUAACA